rnacentral:misc_RNA from 1 species
CACCGCGGUAAUUCCAGCUCCAAUAGCGUAUAUUAGUGUUGUUGCGGUUAAAAAGCUCGUAGUUGAAUUUCGGGAUUGGGAUAUAUCGGUCGUGCCUUUAGGGGCAUGAAUCGGUGUGUGGCCAAUUCUCACCUUCUGGUGAAUUGGGAUGCUCUCGGGUGUUUCAAUGAACUAGGACUUUUACUUUGAAAAAAUUAGAGAGUUUAAAGCGGGCAUUUUUGCUUGAAUACGUUAGCAUGGAAUAAUAAAAUAGGACGAUGGUUCUAUUUUGUUGGUUUUAGGACCACGUAAUGAUUAAUAGGGAUAGUUGGGGGCAUUAGUAUUCAAUUGUCAGAGGUGAAAUUCUUGGAUUUAUUGAGGACUAACUACUGCGAAAGCAUUUGCCAAGGAUGUUUUCAUUAAUCAAGAACGAAAGUUAGGGGAUCAAAGACGAUUUAUGUACGUCGUAGUCUUAACCAUAAACUAUGCCGACUAGGAAUCAGACAAAGUUAAUUUUUUAACGACUUGUUUGGUACCUUACG